rnacentral:tRNA from 2 species
GGGUUGCUAACUCAAUGGGAGAGUGCCUCCCUUGCAAGGAGGAAGUUACGGGUUCAAAUCCCGUGCGAUCCA